CAACUUUUGAAAGCUUUAGUUCUUCACCUUGUCUCAAUUUGUUGUUGCAUUUCAUGAGAAAAAUUCAGAGAAAAUGCAGAAGACAUUUUGGCCACGUAAGAAGCCUUAAGCUGUUCAGAAGAAGAUGCUAAGGGAAGUGGUGAAGGGACAACUCCUGUCUCCUCUCCUUAAUCCUGUCAGCCUUGGGAUUUCAACAUGGGCUGCUGAGCUGUGCAAUAAAAUAUUUGUGAAUAUCCAGGAAUGAGGGUCCAUACAGAAGGCAUUGACAUGCACCAGGCUCACAUGAAAACCAUCUUAUGACCUGCAGGAAGGAGGAAAAGAAGAGCAUGAUUAAGUCCUCCUGUUUCUGUGCAAGAGCCUGGAGCAGCUGCCUCCGUUCUCCUCUGGCUGGACUGUGUUUCUCAGGAUACAGGAGGGAUGCCAAGGAAGCAAUGUCUCUCCUGGGAGAAGGUUGGAUGAAUCACGUUAAGGGAGCUCCAGCAGAAAGUUUCACCCGCAAAGGGUGGGGAACAGCAGCUGAUCUAGACCAAACGAUGACUUAACCUCGAAAAUUAAGACGUUGUUCCUUUAAUUUUUGACUUGCCGGAAAACUGAAAACAUUUCCAUGACAAUAUUUCCGUGAAACCCAACUCUUUUUUUCGGCAGAAAUCCUUUCUUCUGCCCAAAGUCUGCCUGUUGGAAUGCUCCCCACCAGCUCUAUUGGUGGGCUGGGAAUUUUCCAGGACUAGCCUGAAGUUUCAAUCAAGGAGUUGUUUGGUGUUUUUUGGUUUGUUUAUUUGUUUGCUUUUAAGGCAGCCAAGCAAAACAACUGCUGGCAAGAACUUUAGUACCUGAUUUCAUCCCUAUAAAAUUCUCUGCAAAGUGAGAAGGCAUUUGCUU